UUGAACGCUGGCGGAAUGCUUUACACAUGCAAGUCGAGCGGCAGCGCGGGGGCAACCCUGGCGGCGAGCGGCGAACGGGUGAGUAACACAUCGGAACGUACCCAGUUGUGGGGGAUAGCCCGGCGAAAGCCGGAUUAAUACCGCAUACGACCUGAGGGUGAAAGGGGGGGAUCGCAAGACCUCUCGCAGUUGGAGCGGCCGAUGGCGGAUUAGCUAGUUGGUGGGGUAAAGGCCUACCAAGGCGACGAUCCGUGGCUGGUCUGAGAGGACGACCAGCCACACUGGAACUGAGACACGGUCCAGACUCCUACGGGAGGCAGCAGUGGGGAAUUUUGGACAAUGGGCGCAAGCCUGAUCCAGCAAUGCCGCGUGCAGGAUGAAGGCCUUCGGGUUGUAAACUGCUUUUGUACGGAACGAAACGGUUCUCUUUAAUAAAGAGGGCUAAUGACGGUACCGUAAGAAUAAGCACCGGCUAACUACGU
rnacentral:rRNA from 1 species